rnacentral:tRNA from 1 species
GGUUCCAUAGUUCAACGGAUAGAAUAGAAGUUUCCUAAACUUUAGAUGUGGGUUCGAUUCCCGCUGGGACCAC